UACAGAGGUCCCAAGCGUUGUUCGGAUUUACUGGGCGUAAAGGGUGCGUAGGUGGCGGGGUAAGUCAGGUGUGAAAUCUCGAGGCUCAACCUCGAAACUGCACUUGAUACUGCCUUGCUCGAGUACUGGAGAGGAGAUUGGAAUUUACGGUGUAGCAGUGAAAUGCGUAGAUAUCGUAAGGAAGACCAGUGGCGAAGGCGAAUCUCUGGACAGUUACUGACACUGAGGCACGAAGGCCAGGGGAGCAAACGGG
rnacentral:rRNA from 1 species